UACAGAGGGUGCAAGCGUUAAUCGGAAUUACUGGGCGUAAAGCGUGCGUAGACGGUUAUUUAAGUCGGGUGUGAAAGCCCCGGGCUCAACCUGGGAAUUGCAUUCGAGACUGAAUAGCUAGGGUGCGGAAGAGGGAAGCGGAAUUUCCGGUGUAGCGGUGAAAUGCGUAGAUAUCGGAAGGAACACCAGUGGCGAAAGCGGCCACCUGGACUGCACCUGACGCUGACACGCGAAAGCUAGGGGAGCGAACGGG
rnacentral:rRNA from 1 species